AAAUAAGAAACAAAUUAUUGUAUUUAGUUUCGACCUAAACCUUAGAUGGCCCCCCCCCAUCCUUAUUUA
rnacentral:tRNA from 1 species